GGAGAGAUGCGAGAGCGGUCGAAUCGGGCGGUCUCGAAAACCGUUGUACCGCAAGGUACCGGGGGUUCAAAUCCCCCUCUCUCCG
rnacentral:tRNA from 1 species